GAUGGAACGCAGCGAAAUGCGAUAAGUAAUGUGAAUUGCAGAAUUCAGUGAAUCAUCGAAUCUUUGAACGCAUCUUGCGCUCCUUGGUAUUCCGAGGAGCAUGCCUGUUUGAGUGUCAUUUAACUUCUCAACCACAUUGGAUAUUUUUUUUCCGAUGCCGGCUUGGAUGUGGGGGUUGUUUGCAGGCUUUUUGUAACAAAAAAGGUCGGCUCCCCUGAAAUGUAUUAGUGGUAUCUGAGGCUAUUACUAUUAGGUGUGAUAAUUAUCUAUGCCUUUUGGGUAUGCCGCAUGAACAGAUUAUGCUGCUUCUAACGAAAACUAUUUUGAUGAAUUUGACCUCAAAUCAGGUAGGAAUACCCGCUGAACUUAAGCAUAUCAAUAAGCGGAGGA
rnacentral:misc_RNA from 1 species